rnacentral:rRNA from 1 species
CCUACGGGUGGCAGCAGUGAGGAAUAUUGGUCAAUGGGCGGAAGCCUGAACCAGCCAAGUAGCGUGCGGGAUGAAGGCCCUACGGGUCGUAAACCGCUUUUGCACGGGGAUAACACCCUCCACGUGUGGAGGUCUGCAGGUACCGUGCGAAUGAGGGCCGGCUAAUUCCGUGCCAGCAGCCGCGGUAAUACGGAGGGCCCGAGCGUUAUCCGGAUUCAUUGGGCUUAAAGGGAGCGUAGGGGGGCGUGAAAGUCAGUUGGAAAAUCUCGCGGCUCAACCGAGCACUGCAGUUGAAACUGGAAGCCUUGAGUUCACAAGAGGCAGGCGGAAUUCGUGGUGUAGCGGUGAAAUGCAUAGAUAUCACGAGGAACCCCGAUUGCGAAGGCAGUCUGCCGGGGUGCGACUGACGCUGAGGCUCGAAGGUGCGGGUAUCAAACAGGAUUAGAUACCCGUGUAGUC